rnacentral:rRNA from 1 species
UACAGAGGGUGCGAGCGUUGUUCGGAAUUAUUGGGCGUAAAGGGCGCGUAGGCGGUGCGGUAAGUCACCUGUGAAACCUCUGGGCUUAACUCAGAGCCUGCAGGCGAAACUACCGUGCUGGAGUGUCGGAGAGGUAAGUGGAAUUCCCGGUAUAGCGGUGAAAUGCGUAGAUAUCGGGAGGAACACCUGUGGCGAAAGCGGCUUACUAGACGACAACUGACGCUGAGGCGCGAAAGCUAGGGGAGCAAACAGG